UACGUAGGCAGCGAGCGUUGUUCGGAGUUACUGGGCGUAAAGGGUGUGUAGGCGGUUGUUUAAGUUUGGUGUGAAAUCUCCCGCUCAACUGGGAGGGUGCGCCGAAUACUGAAUGACUAGAGUGCGGGAGAGGAAAGUGGAAUUCCUGGUGUAGCGGUGAAAUGCGUAGAUAUCAGGAGGAACACCGGUGGUGUAGACGGCUUUCUGGACCGUAACUGACGCUGAGACACGAAAGCGUGGGUAGCAAACAGG
rnacentral:rRNA from 1 species